AGCAGUACCGCACAUCAGGAGGAUGAAAUGCUGACAGAACUCUGCAGUGAACCCUCCUCUCUGCCUUUAAUUUUGCCUGCACCUGAAUCUUCUUUCUGCUUGCCUAAAACAUAUCAGAUGCCCAAACAUGGCAAAACUGUCCAGUGCCAGACAAGUCCAUCAAAGGCAACCAGACCACGUGGAAUGCAGACUAGGCUUUCACUGUCCCGAAUGACCAAUCUCCUGAGGAAAGUGCAAAACUUUACCCGGGAGUGUCAAAGGCUUCAGAAAAAGCAGCAUCACCUACAGGAAGAGCUCUCCACUCUGAGGCAGGAGGCAAAAAAGGCGUCCUUGUUGAUGAAGAGAACAAACGUCGAAAUCCUCCAGCAAAAGGUGGAGGAGAGCAACGAAAAAGCUCUGUUCCUUCAAGAGCAGCUUGCUUUUCUGGGCAAAAAGAAAGGGCUAUGGCGUGAGCAGACAGUGCGCAAAUGCGUUCUUUUGCACACUAAAUCACCAGCCGGGUACCGCCUUCUUCGGGAGAUUGGUGUCUUGACCUAGCCGAGUCGCUGUACUCUCAAGCGAUACAUUGGCGCAUGCACUGGAGAGGUGGUGUCCUCUCUCAUCAAGCAGCGCCUUCAUGCAGAAGUGAAACUGCACUCUAAGCACACUGUGGGUCCCUGGUGAUGGACGAAAUGUCACUAAAGCAAUCUGCACUGUACCAUAAACAGUCCGA